AACGGCGAGUGAAGCGGCAAAAGCUCAAAUUUGAAAUCUGGCCCCCUAGGGGGUCCGAGUUGUAAUUUGCAGAGGAUGCUUCGGGUGUGGCCACGGCCUAAGUUCCUUGGAACAGGACGUCAUAGAGGGUGAGAAUCCCGUCUUGGGCCGCCGGUCCGCGCCCGUGUGAAGUUCCUUCGACGAGUCGAGUUGUUUGGGAAUGCAGCUCUAAGCGGGUGGUAAAUUUCAUCUAAAGCUAAAUAUUGGCCGGAGACCGAUAGCGCACAAGUAGAGUGAUCGAAAGGUUAAAAGCACCUUGAAAAGGGAGUUAAACAGCACGUGAAAUUGUUGAAAGGGAAGCGCUUGCGGCCAGACUCGGGGGCGGGGUUCAGCGGGCCUACUGGCCAGUGUACUCCCCGUUCUCCGGGCCAGCAUCGGUUUGGACGGCCGGUCAAAGGCCCCCGGAAUGUGUCGUCUCCAGGGACGUCUUAUAGCCGGGGGUGCAAUGCGGCCCGUCCGGACCGAGGAACGCGCUUCGGCUCGGAUGCUGGCGUAAUGGCCGUAAGCGGCCCGUCUUGAAACACGGACCAAGGAGUCUAACAUCCACGCGAGUGUUCGGGUGUCAAACCCGUGCGCGCAGUUAAAGCGAACGGAGGUGGGGAGCCUUAGGGCGCACCAUCGACCGAUCCUGAAGUCUUCGGAUGGAUUUGAGUAGGAGCGUGGCCGUUGGGACCCGAAAGAUGGUGAACUAUGCCUGAAUAGGGUGAAGCCAGAGGAAACUCUGGUGGAGGCUCGCAGCGGUUCUGACGUGCAAAUCGAUCGUCAAAUUU
rnacentral:rRNA from 1 species